GAGGGGCUCGCGGCCUAUCAGCUAGUUGGUGGGGUAACGGCUCACCAAGGCGAUGACGGGUAGCUGGUCUGAGAGGACGACCAGCCACACGGGAACUGAGACACGGUCCCGACUCCUACGGGAGGCAGCAGUGGGGAAUUUUCCGCAAUGGGCGAAAGCCUGACGGAGUGACGCCGCGUGGGGGACGAAGGCCUUCGGGUCGUAAACCCCUGUCAGAGGGAAAGAAGGGUGUCGGCGUGAACAACGCCGGCAUCUGACGGUACCUUCAGAGGAAGCCCCGGCCAACUCUGUGCCAGCAGCCGCGGUAAGACAGAGAGGGCAAGCGUUGCUCGGAAUUACUGGGCGUAAAGGGCGCGUAGGCGGGAGGGCAAGUCGGUCGUGAAAUCCUUCGGCUCAACCGAAGAACGUCGGCCGAUACUGCCGUUCUUGAGGGAUGCAGAGGAGACUGGAAUUCCCGGUGUAGCGGUGAAAUGUGUAGAGAUCGGGAGG
rnacentral:rRNA from 1 species